GGCAGCGUAGCCUAGCGGUAUAGCACGUGGGCCCUGGAGCCAGACUGUGAGCCAGACUGUCCAGGUUCAAAUCCUGGCUCUGCCA
rfam:Myotis davidii contig283040, whole genome shotgun sequence.